UGCUGGAGAUCCCUGUAUGCUUGAGGCCUUCUGAAGCUGAGGAGCCCUGGAUGGACAAGCAGUUAGCAGGUGGGCUAUCCUUUUCCCUUACUGCAUCAGAGACCUGAGCAGCCUCAGGAAGGUCUUGGGCUGAAACUGGGACAGGGUGGAUAUUUCAGAUUUGGUUUUGGAGAGUUCCAGUGCAGCAGGUGAGCUCCUUACCACCAAAUUCCCAGGAAACUCCAUUUCAGACUGCUCCACCGAAGGGACUGUGCUCUCAAAGUGGGGAUGAAGGGAGAUUCCAAAGCCUCCCUGAAGGGACAAGUGUGAUGAAAGGAUACUUGCUGCCACCGAAAGGUUCACUGCCACAAAAGGAGUUGAGCAGAGGGGAACCUUCAACAGAGAUGUUGUUCCACAUCCUAGCAGCUCUGCGGAUCUGCUAAUGCCCAGGAAGGAACAAAAGAAAUAAAUAAAAAUUGGGUCAUUCAUUAACAGCCAUAA